AACGAACGCUGGCGGCAGGCUUAACACAUGCAAGUCGAGCGCCCCGCAAGGGGAGCGGCAGACGGGUGAGUAACGCGUGGGAAUCUACCCAUCUCUACGGAAUAACGCAUGGGAACGUGUGCUAAUACCGUAUACGUCCUUCGGGAGAAGGAUUUAUCGGAGAUGGAUGAGCCCGCGUUGGAUUAGCUAGUUGGUGGGGUAAAGGCCUACCAAGGCGACGAUCCAUAGCUGGUCUGAGAGGAUGAUCAGCCACACUGGGACUGAGACACGGCCCAGACUCCUACGGGAGGCAGCAGUGGGGAAUAUUGGACAAUGGGCGCAAGCCUGAUCCAGCCAUGCCGCGUGAGUGAUGAAGGCCCUAGGGUUGUAAAGCUCUUUCACCGGUGAAGAUAAUGUCGGUAACCGGAGAAGAAGCCCCGGCUAACUUCGUGCCAGCCGCCGCGGUAAUAC
rnacentral:rRNA from 1 species